ACUUGAGGUGAAGUAUAUGUUGUUUGCAUAAUUCUUCUUCUUUUAUACAUAAUUAGAAUUUUACAUGUAGGUGCAAAAGAGGCAGAUUUAUGGCAUCACUAAUGUGCUUGAAGGGAUAGGAUUUAUGCCAAUGCUGCAGAAGUUGAAAACCUAGUCUCGUAAGAAUGCCAGUUGGAUGAGUGCAUCAGUGUGCAGAAAUGUUCUAGUUUUAAAGCAAAAUGCAAGAAAGUAUGAGUGUGUUCACUGAAGAAGAAAGUAAUCAAAAGCCGCUUUACCUGACCAAAGAUGACAUCAAAAGCAACAACUAUAUGUUAUGUGGCACUGCAUCCGAACCUCAGGGGUGUGACUGAGAAGUACUUCAACGAAGAACUAUCAAGAAAGCUUUAAGCGAGAAGAUGGUUAAACUCAAUGAUUAAAGAACAUUUAAGUCAAGAGGAUAAGUAGCAUUUAUCAAGAUCCUUUAAGUUCAUGCAAUAAGAUGUAGUCGAUAGAAGUAGUUUUGAGUGCCUUCUAAUUAAAAUUUCU